UAGAGUAUGAUAGAGGAAAGCAGAAUUUCUAGUGUAGAGGUGAAAUUCGUAGAUAUUAGAAAGAAUACCAAUUGCGAAGGCAGCUUUCUGGAUCAUUACUGACACUGAGGAACGAAAGCAUGGGUAGCGAAGAGGAUUAGAUACCCUCGUAGUCCAUGCCGUAAACGAUGUGUGUUAGACGUUGGAAAUUUAUUUUCAGUGUCGCAGGGAAACCGAUAAACACACCGCCUGGGGAGUACGACCGCAAGGUUAAAACUCAAAUGAAUUGACGGGGACCCGCACAAGUAGUGGAGCAUGUGGUUUAAUUCGAAGAUACGCGCAGAACCUUACCAACACUUGACAUGUUCGUCGCGACUCUAAGAGAUUAGAGUUUUCGGUUCGGCCGGACGAAACACAGGUGCUGCAUGGCUGUCGUCAGCUCGUGUCGUGAGAUGUUGGGUUAAGUCCCGCAACGAGCGCAACCCUCACUUUUAGUUGCCAUCAUUAAGUUGGGCACUCUGAAAGAACUGCCAGUGAUAAGCUGGAGGAAGGUGGGGAUGACGUCAAGUCCUCAUGGCCCUUACGUGUUGGGCUACACACGUGCUACAAUGGCAUCUACAACAGGAAGCAAAACGGCAACGUUAAGCAAAUCCCGAAAAGAUGCCUCAGUUCGGAUUGCACUCUGCAACUCGAGUGCAUGAAGCUGGAAUUACUAGUAAUCGUGGAUCAGCGUGCCACGGUGAAUGCGUUCCCGGGUCUUGUACACACCGCCCGUCACACCAUGGGAGUUGGUUCUACCUUAAGGCAAGGUUUCAAACCCUUGACCACGGUAUAGUCAGCGACUGGGGUGAAGUCGUAACAAGGUAACCGUA
rnacentral:rRNA from 1 species